UACGUAGGGCACAAGCGUUGUCCGGAAUUAUUGGGCGUAAAGAGCUCGUAGGCGGCCUGUUGCGUCCGCUGUGAAAUCCCGGGGCUCAACCCCGGGCCUGCAGUGGAUACGGGCUGGCUAGAGGCAGGCAGGGGAGAACGGAAUUCCUGGUGUAGCGGUGAAAUGCGCAGAUAUCAGGAGGAACACCGAUGGCGAAGGCAGGUCUCUGGGCCAUUACUGACACUGAGAAGCGAAAGCAUGGGGAGCGAACAGG
rnacentral:rRNA from 1 species